GGUGGUGCAUGGUUGUCGUCAGCUCGUGUCGUGAGAUGUUGGGUUAAGUCCCGCAACGAGCGCAACCCUUAAGCUUAGUUGCCAUCAUUAAGUUGGGCACUCUAGGUUGACUGCCGGUGACAAACCGGAGGAAGGUGGGGAUGACGUCAAAUCAUCAUGCCCCUUAUGAUUUGGGCUACACACGUGCUACAAUGGAUAAUACAAAGGGCAGCGAAUCCGCGAGGCCAAGCAAAUCCCAUAAAAUUAUUCUCAGUUCGGAUUGUAGUCUGCAACUCGACUACAUGAAGCUGGAAUCGCUAGUAAUCGUAGAUCAGCAUGCUACGGUGAAUACGUUCCCGGCUCUUGUACACAC
rnacentral:rRNA from 1 species